GCAAUCGACCACAGGAUGAGGAAAAUAGGGCUUCCCGUUCGCUCAGCCGUACUCAAGCCUCAUGCCGGUCCAGUUAGUACUACCGUGGGUGACCAGGUGGGAAUCCUGACUGUCGAUUGUU
rfam:Fonsecaea pedrosoi CBS 271.37 unplaced genomic scaffold supercont1.1, whole genome shotgun sequence.